rnacentral:sRNA from 1 species
CCCUAGCCCUGAUAGAAGCGAUAUCCUUUUGUGGCAUACGCGUAAAGAUGGGUAUGCCACAAAAGAUAAAGCGGAUAGCAGGAUUAGCU